rnacentral:tRNA from 1 species
GGCAAGAUGACUGAAAUAGUGGAGGAUUGUAAAUCCUUAAAUGUAAGUGAAAACCUUACUCUUCGCCA